UACGUAGGGCGCAAGCGUUGUCCGGAAUUAUUGGGCGUAAAGAGCUCGUAGGCGGUUUGUCGCGUCUGCUGUGAAAACCUCAGGCUCAACCUGGGGCUUGCAGUGGGUACGGGCAGACUAGAGUGCGGUAGGGGUGACUGGAAUUCCUGGUGUAGCAGUGAAAUGCGUAGAUAUCAGGAGGAACACCGAUGGCGAAGGCAGGUCUCUGGGCUGACACUGACGCUCAUGGCACGAAAGCGUGGGGGACAAACAGG
rnacentral:rRNA from 1 species